GAUGAACGCUGGCGGCGUGCCUAAUACAUGCAAGUCGAGCGAACAGACGAGGAGCUUGCUCCUCUGACGUUAGCGGCGGACGGGUGAGUAACACAUGGAUAACCUACCUAUAAGACUGGGAUAACUUCGGGAAACCGGAGCUAAUACCGGAUAAUAUAUUGAACCGCAUGGUUCAAUAGUGAAAGACGGUUUUGCUGUCACUUAUAGAUGGAUCCGCGCCGCAUUAGCUAGUUGGUAAGGUAACGGCUUACCAAGGCGACGAUGCGUAGCCGACCUGAGAGGGUGAUCGGCCACACUGGAACUGAGACACGGUCCAGACUCCUACGGGAGGCAGCAGUAGGGAAUCUUCCGCAAUGGGCGAAAGCCUGACGGAGCAACGCCGCGUGAGUGAUGAAGGUCUUCGGAUCGUAAAACUCUGUUAUUAGGGAAGAACAAAUGUGUAAGUAACUAUGCACGUCUUGACGGUACCUAAUCAGAAAGCCACGGCUAACUACGUG
rnacentral:rRNA from 1 species